rnacentral:lncRNA from 1 species
UUCAUCUUAUAGCAGCUAGCACUGAAAGUUGAAGACCUGUUCGUGUGGACUAGCUAGAGGUGCUGCCGUCGUGUGGUGCUUGUGAUCAACGAAUAGAAGCAAAGAGUUUGCUGUUUCAGUUCACCAAAAGGUAUAACGUUUAACCCUGAUCAUGACCAUUCGCAAGGAUCCAUUGAAGGAAAAAUUUAAAAUUCCGCUGCGUUUUACACUCUGUUUUAAACACGAUUUUCCUUCAA